UAUGUAGAUCUAAAACUAGAAUCUAGAUCUAGAGAUAGCGGAGUACUAGACUAGAUCAAGAUUAUGAAGAUAUGAUAGACUCCAGAUAUCUUGUAUACUAUAGUACUAGAUCUAGAUUCUAUACUAGAUCUAUAGACUCUAGAUAAAGUCUAGAUGUGUUAAAAACAAGCACGCCUAGAUAAAAAGCGUACACACUCACCGUAACACACUAGAUAUUUAUG